GACCAAAAAUCUUUAUCAAGCUCUGUAAACUUAAUAAGAUUCACCAAAUCAUUAAGUAUUUAUUAUUUAACUGUAAUAUUUGUAAGUGUUGUAAAUUUAUUGAUAAUCUACAUGUUAUUUUAUUUUUAAAUCUAUAUGCAAAUUUAUU